rnacentral:tRNA from 1 species
GCGAGAGUGGUGGAACUGGCAGACACGCUGGACUUAGGAUCCAGUGCGCAAGCGUGCGGGUUCGAGUCCCGCCUCUCGCACCA